AGGAUCAACGCUGGCGGCGUGCCUAACACAUGCAAGUCGCACGAGAAAGGGACUUCGGUCCUGAGUACAGUGGCGCACGGGUGAGUAACACGUGAAUAAUCUACCUCCGAGUGGGGAAUAAACUGAGAGAAAUCUUAGCUAAUACCGCAUAACACUUACGAGUCAAAGCAGCAAUGCGCUUGGAGAGGAGUUCGCGGCAGAUUAGUUAGUUGCGGGGUAAUGGCCCACCAAGACGAUGAUCUGUA
rnacentral:rRNA from 1 species